UGGUCAAUGUGGCUUCUUGGAGGAGGAAACCCUUGGCAGGUGGGGACUGUGCAGGAAAGGUACAGAAAACCACCAACCUGCUGCUGGUAAAUUAGAUGCCAGGGAAAGACACGUGUUUACCUGGAGCUGUGAGGACUCGGCCAGGUGAGUACACACAGGAGACGGUC
rnacentral:lncRNA from 1 species